GACGAACGCUGGCGGCGUGCUUAACACAUGCAAGUCGAACGGAAAGGCCCUGCUUUUGUGGGGUGCUCGAUUGGCGAACGGGUGAGUAACACGUGAGUAACCUGCCCUUGACUUUGGGAUAACUUCAGGGAACUGGGGCUAAUACCGGAUAGGAGCUCCUGCUGCAUGGUGGGGGUUGGAAAGUUUCGGCGGUUGGGGAUGGAUUGGCGGCUUAUCGGCUUGUUGGUGGGGUAGUGGUUUACCAAGUCUUUGACGGGUAGCCGGCCUGAGAGGGUGACCAGCGACAUGGCGACUGAGAUAGGCAGCAGACUGCAAUGUGACGCAGUAGUGGGGAAUCUUGCGGAACGAGCGGAAGUCAGAUAUAGCAAUGCUGCGUGCGUGAUGACGGGUUACUGGUGGAAAACAGCUGUGGACGGUGCUGAAGAGUUAGUGACGGUAAUUGGUAAGGAAGCAACGGCUAACUACGUG
rnacentral:rRNA from 1 species